AUCUAUGUAUCUAAGGAUAAGUGCUGAGUUCUUACCUCAGUAAUGUGUGUUUACACCGUAGAUU
rnacentral:tRNA from 1 species